UACAGAGGGGGCAAGCGUUGUUCGGAAUUACUGGGCGUAAAGGGCGCGUAGGCGGCCUUCUAAGUCAGACGUGAAAUCCCUCGGCUUAACCGGGGAACUGCGUCUGAUACUGGAUGGCUUGAGUUUGGGAGAGGGAUGCGGAAUUCCAGGUGUAGCGGUGAAAUGCGUAGAUAUCUGGAGGAACACCGGUGGCGAAGGCGGCAUCCUGGACCAACACUGGACGCUGAGGAGCGAAAGCCAGGGGAGCAAAGCG
rnacentral:rRNA from 1 species